rnacentral:lncRNA from 1 species
CCCACCUCGGCCUCCCAAAGUGCUGGGAUUACAGGCGUGAGCCACCGUGCCCGGCCUCACCUUCCUUUCUCUUAUCAGCCGCCUCCACUUGCUCUCCAAGAGCUCAAGAUGCUAACAUUUAUUUAUUAAUUUAAUUUCUUUAUUGAGACACGGUCUCGCUCUGUCAUCCAGGCUGGAGUGCAGUGGUGUGAUCAUAGCUCACUGCAGCCUUGACUUCCUGGGCUCAAGAGAUCCACCAUACCUCAGCCUCCCUAUCACAGCCUCCCGAAUAGCUGGGACUACACACGCAGCUAAUUUUUAAAAUUUUUUGUAAAAAGGUGGGUCUCACUAUGUUGCAUAAACUAGUCUAAAACUCCUGGGCUCAAGCAUUCCUGUCCCCUUAGCCUCCCAAAGUGCUGGGAUUACAGGCAUAAGCCACCAAGCCCGGCCAUCUAACUGCUAGAUCUCUCUGGCCUCUUUGCCUCCCUUCCAGUCCCACUGCUGUGGCGUAAGGCAAACCCUCCUUUCGCACCUGGAUUAUCACAGCUGUUUCUAAGCUAGGCCUUCCAAUCUAUGCGCCAAACUGCAAACAAAGCAAUCUUGCUAAUUGCUUACAAUCCUUCCAUUUCUGCAUACGAGCUUCAGGACAAAGCCCAAACUCCUUAACAUGACUCAAGGCCCACUGUGACCUGCUCCUGCCAAUUCACCUUGAGAGCACACUUUGGUGGUGAGGUGCCAAGAAUAUGUCAUGCAUGUCCCCUGCUUUCUCUGCCUUGAACACUUUCCCCAUUUGUCUGCUAACCAUGCUUCCAGAUUCUACUCAAGCCUCACCUCUGCCAGGAAGCCUCAGCUGACCUCCCCAGGUUAUGGGACUAACCCCUCUUUCAGGUUCCCACAGUACCCAAUGCUCCCACAGUACCCAGUGCUCCCACAGCAGAGAGCACAUUAUGCUGUGCUGAAAUAAUCUAUGGCCCCUACGUAGACUUGUGCCUGGUACAUAGGAGGUGCUCAAUAAACAUUUGUUCAAGGAAGAAACACAGGAAUGAAUGAUUCUGUAGGAAGGCAGUGGGAAAUGCACUAUGCUGGGAGGCAGAGACUAGGCUCUCAUCAACUUUGCCAUUGGCUCCCCCAGGGAACUGGGGUCAGCCACUUGACCUCUGGGCCUGCCCAGUUUCCCUUUCCUUUGAUCCACUAACUCCUCAUCUGUAGGGUCUUGGGGGAUGUCUUUUGCCCUACACACACACACACACACACACACACACACACACACACACACUCACUCAUGUUGGGCCUCAGCACUCAGGUAGCGGACUCAGGAAUUUUAGUCCUCCACGGCGACCAGCACAAAAAACAAGAACCAGGGUGGGCACAGUGGUUCAUGCCUGUAAUCCCAGCACUUUGGGAGGCCAAGGUGGGUGGAUCACCUGAGAUCAGGAGCCUGGCCAACAUGGUGAAACCCUGUCUCAACUAAAAAUACAAAAAUUGGCCAGGCGUGGUGGCAGGUGCCUGUAGUCCCAGCUACUCGGGAGGCUGAGGCAGGAGAAUCACUUGAACCUGGGAGGCGGAGGUUGCAGUGAACCGAGAUCGCGCCACUGCACUCUUCAGCCUGGGCGACAAGAGCAAAACUCCAUCUCAAAAAAAAAAAAAGAAAAAGAACCAGGAGGGAGGGGAAAUAGUUUGAGGGUACUGUGUGAGGCAGGACACAGGUGGUUGCAGUAACUGUCAGAAGUCCACAUCCUGCCAGCUGGGGAUGGGAGGAAUGGGUACACUCACCUGCUGACUUUCAGUCUGGGACUGGCAGAAUCCCUGAUUUUCUCUGACCUGCCCCCACAAGUAGUCUGCCUCCCUGUCCCCAAAGCUGGUUAGCAGGAACGAGGGGGGCAUUAGUGGAGCCAGAAGCUCAGCCCCUCCCUCUCCUGAGGUGUUGGGGCACAGUGAUGCCACAAGAGCAGAAAAACAGUCAUGUGUAUUUAAGACAUUGCACCAGUGGGUCUGGAUCUCACCCACUGAGCAACAUUGA